GGUAGACGCGAUCUGCUGGCUACUACCGGCCUCCCCUGGCUGUUAAAAGCAGAUGGUGGCUGAGGCUGGUUCAAUGCCGGCUGCCUCCUCUGUGAAGAAGCCAUUUGGUCUCAGAAGCAAGAUGGGCAAGUGGUGCCGCCACUGCUUCCCCUGGUGCAGGGGGAGCGGCAAGAGCAACGUGGGCACUUCUGGAGACCACGACGAUUCUGCUAUGAAGACACUCAGGAGCAAGAUGGGCAAGUGGUGCCGCCACUGCUUCCCCUGGUGCAGGGGGAGCAGCAAGAGCAACGUGGGCACUUCUGGAGACCACGACGACUCUGCUAUGAAGACACUCAGGAGCAAGAUGGGCAAGUGGUGCUGCCACUGCUUCCCCUGCUGCAGGGGGAGCGGCAAGAGCAAAGUGGGCCCUUGGGGAGACUACGACGACAGCGCUUUCAUGGAGCCGAGGUACCACGUCCGUCGAGAAGAUCUGGACAAGCUCCACAGAGCUGCCUGGUGGGGUAAAGUCCCCAGAAAGGAUCUCAUCGUCAUGCUCAAGGACACUGACAUGAACAAGAAGGACAAGCAAAAGAGGACUGCUCUACAUCUGGCCUCUGCCAAUGGAAAUUCAGAAGUAGUAAAACUCCUGCUGGACAGACGAUGUCAACUUAAUAUCCUUGACAACAAAAAGAGGACAGCUCUGACAAAGGCCGUACAAUGCCGGGAAGAUGAAUGUGCGUUAAUGUUGCUGGAACAUGGCACUGAUCCGAAUAUUCCAGAUGAGUAUGGAAAUACCGCUCUACACUAUGCUAUCUACAAUGAAGAUAAAUUAAUGGCCAAAGCACUGCUCUUAUACGGUGCUGAUAUCGAAUCAAAAAACAAGCAUGGCCUCACACCACUGUUACUUGGUGUACAUGAGCAAAAACAGCAAGUGGUGAAAUUCUUAAUCAAGAAAAAAGCAAAUUUAAAUGCACUGGAUAGAUAUGGAAGAACUGCUCUCAUACUUGCUGUAUGUUGUGGAUCGGCAAGUAUAGUCAGCCUUCUACUUGAGCAAAACAUUGAUGUAUCUUCUCAAGAUCUAUCUGGACAGACGGCCAGAGAGUAUGCUGUUUCUAGUCAUCAUAAUGUAAUUUGCCAGUUACUUUCUGACUACAAAGAAAAACAGAUGCUAAAAGUCUCUUCUGAAAACAGCAAUCCAGAACAAGACUUAAAGCUGACAUCAGAGGAAGAGUCACAAAGGCUUAAAGGAAGUGAAAAUAGCCAGCCAGAGGAAAUGUCUCAAGAACCAGAAAUAAAUAAGGGUGGUGAUAGAAAGGUUGAAGAAGAAAUGAAGAAGCACGGAAGUACUCAUAUGGGAUUCCCAGAAAACCUGCCUAACGGUGCCACUGCUGACAAUGGUGAUGAUGGAUUAAUUCCACCAAGGAAAAGCAGAACACCUGAAAGCCAGCAAUUUCCUGACACUGAGAAUGAACAGUAUCACAGGGACUUUUCUGGCCAUCCCAACUUUCCCACGACCCUUCCCAUCAAACAGUGAUGAACAAAAUGAUACUCAGAAGCAACUUUCUGAAGAACAGAACACUGGAAUAUUACAAGAUGAGAUUCUGAUUCAUGAAGAAAAGCAGAUAGAAGUGGCUGAAAAUGAAUUCUGAGCUUUCUCUUAGUUAUAAGAAAGAAAAAGACCUCUUGCAUGAAAAUAGUACGUUGCAGGAAGAAAUUGUCAUGCUAAGACUGGAACUAGACGUAAUGAAACAUCAGAGCCAGCUAAGAGAAAAGAAAUAUUUGGAGGAAAUUGAAAGUGUGGAAAAAAAGAAUGAUAAUCUUUUAAAGGGUCUACAACUGAAUGAGCUCACCAUGGAUGAUGAUACUGCCGUGCUCGUCAUUGACAACGGCUCUGGCAUGUGCAAGGCCGGCUUUGCAGGUGACGAUGCCCCCCGGGCUGUCUUCCCUUCCAUCGUGGGGUGCCCCAGGCACCAGAACAUGAUGGGGGGCAUGCGUCAGAUGGAGUCCUAUGUGGGCAAUGAGGCCCAGAGCAAGAGAGGCAUCCUGACCCUGAAGUACCCCAUGGAGCACGGCAUCAUCACCAACUGGGACGACAUGGAGAAGAUCUGGCACCACACCUUCUACAAUGAGCUGCGUGUGGCUCCCGAGGAGCACCCCAUCCUGCUGACCGAGGCACCCCUGAACCCCAAGGCCAACCGUGAGAAGAUGACCCGGAUCAUGUUUGAGACCUUCAACACCCCAGCCAUGUACGUGGCCAUCCAAGCCGUGCUGUCC